CGCGCGCGCGCCUGCGCAGGGCGCGUGGCCGGCAGGAGGGUCCCGGCGGCCCCGGGCGCGACCCCGUCUGGCGGCGGCGCCCGGAAGGCGCGCAGCCUCGCAGCGGGCAAGGAGCGCUGCGCUGAGACACGGGAUCCGGAAACUUAACCUUAGUGUCGCCGUCAGGCCAUUGCGUAACUCCGCGACGCCAAGUAGCUGGUGCCCAAGUGUCCAGUUUCUCGUCAACGCCCCCUUUUCCUGGCCCAGUUGAGUCGGGUCCGAGGGAGGCCCUGACGUCGCAGCAGUCCAGCCCCCUCCCCCUGCUGCUCUUGGCGUUUCCAUUGACAUUGGUCCUCUUGUCACCGAGCCCGCUGUGACACAGAAAGGCCAGCUCACAGAGAAUGGUUUCAGCCUCACCUGCCUUCCAUCCUUCCUCAGUCUUGCGAAGUAAGGGGCACGGGCUGUGUACAUCCUCCAGAAUUCAAACUGGAUUGUGAGAGAAGUGGGUAUCCCUCUGUUCAGGCUUGACAGGGCAGAGGAAUAUUCUGGUGGCCUUUGGCCUUUAAAACACAAGCUUGACAUGAAAGCAGGAGCUCUGAAUGAAGCCUUUCCUAAAUGUCUUGCUGGCUCCUGGUCCAUUGCUCCUGCCUGGGAAGACCUAGAGCCCUGGUGGGAGUUCCCGGCGUGGCGCAGCGGAAACAAAUCCGACUAAGAACCAUGAGGUCGCCGGUUUGAUCCCUGGCCUCACUCAGUGGGUUAAGGAUCCGGCAUUGCGGUGAGUUGUGGAGUAGGUGGCAGACAUGGCUUGGAUCCUGCGUGGCUGUGGCUGUGGUGUAGGCUGGCAGCUGUGGCUCUGAUUCGACCCCUAGCCUGGGAACCUCCAUCUGCCGCGGGUGCGGCCCUAAAAAGCCAAACAAAGUAAAAAGAAAAGGAAAAGAAAGAGCCCUGGUGUAGACUGUCAGACCAGAGCUGCGCGUGUGCCUGGGGUCACCAAGCCUGGGACCCGUUCUGUCGUGUCCGCUGUCCUGGGUGAAAGGACUUAUCUCAGGGUGGACGUGAUCCUGACCUCUUUGAGUCAGGCCCCAACAGAGGACCUUCUGCGCCGUGUCACUCUGGCCCGUGGAGGUGUCACGGACCUGGGUUCUUGGCCUUCCUGGAGAACUCGCUGGAAUGGGUCAAAUUCCUUGCACUGUCAUGAGCCUUACUUCAAACUGUUGGAGCCUAGAAGGCGAAAUGAACCAGAAGGCUAAACAAACAAGGGCCAUGAAGGAGAAGCCCAGCCUUGGAAGGGCCGAGAAAGUGAAGGGACCCGGCUAACUUUUGGGGAGGGGGCUUCCUUGACUGGGGUGCAGACAAGAGGUGACGUCUCCCACGCCAAGAAGCCCUGCUGCUUGGGCGUCUGUUUCGUUCGUCUCAGGGUGGAGUGUCACAGGUUCCUCUGCCUUUAGAAUGGAAGGCCUGGACCUGUGGCCCCAAAAAGCCUCAGUCGCGGGGUCACAACGGCAGGGACAAUGACGGCGAAAUAGAGCCCCGUAAAGCGGUACGACGGGGAGGAGAAGGUUCGUAAUAAGAUGAAGACCUCCUGCUGGAAAGUUCCGUACACCUUGUGGGGUCCCAGAGACCGGAUCUCAGUUCCCCGCCCACAGCGAGUAGUGAGCGUGGGCGGGCCACUGUGGGAGCCAGGUGGCUCUUGCCGAAUGUUCUUGAGGCUGGUUUCUCCCGGGAAGAGGUGUGGACGUCUCUGCGACAGGAAGGCCUGCCAUCCGUACAGACCCCCCUGUUCUGCUGACAGAUAAGCCAGGGCCAGUGGGUUGUCAGCUACACCCUAACCAGGCAAUCCAGAACCUUCUUUCUGUCAGUUAGUAGGAGGGUUAGCGGGCUCGUUGGCUAUGACGGUGAGCGUGCAGGACGAGUUCCGAAGGACGUGCGGGUGGGCGGCCACCCCCCAGCCCGUGACGAGAGGGACCUGAGGAGACAGGCCUCUCCGGCCAGCUGGGUCAGGGCAGGUCUCGAGGUGACCGGGAGCCGCGGGGAUGAGCCAGGCGGGUGUGCGGGUUCGUUGGAGGACGGGUGCAGGGGCGGCUCAUCCAGGUCCAGCGGGCACGGUGGGGGCGGGCACGUCCCCCAGCCACAUCCCCAGCACGCUCCGUCCAUGUGCGUCCUGCCAACGGCUCCCGGGUGGACCCUUCCUCCGCUGGGCAGCGGGCUGGGGCUUGAGCGCACACCGGCGAGUGGAGCUCCGGCUUGGGGGCGUCGGAGGACACUGGGGUGCUUCCGUGUCGGUUCUCCGUCCCCACAUUCGUUUCCUUUGACACGGCCGCACCUGCGGCACAUGGAGGUUCCCAGGUUAGCGGCUGAACCGGAGCUGCAGCGCCGGCUUACACCCCAGCUCACGGCAGCGCCGGUCCCUGACCCCUGCACCAGGCCAGGGGUCGAACCUGCAACCUCGUGGAUCCUCGUCGGGUCCGCUGAGCCGUGAUGGGAGCUGCCUCCCUACAGCAUUUCUCUCAACGCUCCGCUGCCCUGCUGCCGGUUUUCUCAGGCCCGGGCUGAUGGGAGCAGCCACGAAGCUCAACAGCCUCAGCCCUCCUCUGCCUCUGUCCCGUCCGCGGCUGGCCGGACAGCCCCCCAGGCUCGAGUCGCUCGGACUCUGGCCUCCUCCGCCCCGCGGGCUGAAUGCCAGGUCCUUACUGACCAGGGCGGCAGCUUGGCCCACCCCGUAAAAGAUUUCGGCCAAGCUGCCGAGGAAAGUGGUUUUCCUCUGAGCACCCGAGGCUCGGCGUGGAGACGCAGACACAAGUGCUGGCCCCCCGGGCUGAGGGCAGCGCUCAGCGGCCCUCGAGAGCCAGGAGAGCAAGCGGGCAGUAGUGACCCCGACCCACCGAGCACGCCAGUUGUCUCGCGAGUGGACGGGCGCAUCCGAGGGCGGAGAGCAAAUAGUGGUGCAGGUGCCCAGCCUGCCGUCAAUGGCGUGCCUGUCCUUCCGAACCGGAGCUUCGGGUCUCGGAGAAGCUCGGGGACGCGGGGUUCUCAGGCUGCCCAGGGCGGCUUGGGUCUCAGAGGAAAAGCAGUAAGUUCACAGGCACGGCCGGGACAUGUGCCUUCAGGUUCCCAUAACGCCUCAGUGGGGACACAUGCACCAGCCGGGGACUCCCUGGCCUUUCCUGUCUCGGGGUCUCAUCCGGCCGUCGGAAGGACCCUCCUUGGGGAGCAGCCGGUCAGCAGCAGGCUCAUCUUUUUUUUUUUUUUUUUUUUUCUGUAUUUUGUCUUUUUAGGCCGCACCGGUGGCAUAUGGGGGUUCCCAGGCUAGGGGUCAAAUUGGAGCUGUAGCUGCCGGCCUAUACCACAGCCACAGCAACAUCCAAGCCGUGUCUGCGACCUAACCCACAGCUCCCGGCAAUAUCAGAUCUUUAACCCACUGAGCGAGGCCAGGGAUUGAACCUGCAUCCUCGUAGAUACUAGUCAGAUUCGUUUCCACUGAGCCAUGAAGGGCAGUCCCUUUUUUUAGCUUUUUAGGGCCACACCUGCAGCACAUGGAGGCUCCCAGGUUAGGGGUCGAAUUGGAGCUGCAGCUGCCGGCCUACACCACAGCCACGGCAACGCAGGAUCCGAGCCGAGGCUGCCACCUACCCCUCAGCUCACGGCAACGCCAGAUCCUCAACCCACUGAGUGAGGCCAGGAAUGCUCACAGAUGCUGGUCGGGUUUGUGACCCACUGAGCCACGACGAGAAGCCCCAGCGUUUCUUCAGGCUGUGACCAGCCUGUCCCGCUUUUCCUGGACCGAGGUACCCAGAUGAUUAGAGGUGGUAUGCUAAUUUCUAGGGCUGGGUGACCUUUGCGGUGAGCAAGCCUCCACUGUCACUCUGGAGGUGACGGGGUAACCCCAACCUAGGGGCGAGCUCCCUCAGAAGCGCCUUAGCCCCUCCGCUGCCCUUUCUGGCCUGUGGGGAAGGCCUCUACCCGCCCGGUAAGAGUAUCAACAAAGACCAGCACGUAUUUGAAGCCCUGGGAAGAGGGCGCCUGGCUGAAAUCUUCCUGCCGGGCCUCCCCCGGCCAAGCCCCAUGUGGAUGCACUGGGCAAACAAAAUGGGGGCUGAGGCUGUCCCUAGACGGGGGCGCAGAGGGCACGGGCUCAGGUGACGCACCUGACUGUGUCUGGAAGCCCCUUCCCUGUGAAAAGCCGGAAGACCGUUGUAGACGCGGCCUCUGCCCGGAUGGAGACUCAGGCAGCCCUUCCAUCCCCCACUGGCCAGCGGGGGGCGGGGGGGGGUGGCCGCCUCUGCUCCAGGGGCCACCAGCCGCCUGUGCCCUCACCUCCCCCUCUGUCUCGAGCCAGGUCUCUUCAGAAGCUGAAGCCUGGAGUUCCUGCUGUGGUGCAAUGGGACUGGUGGCGCCUUGGGAGCGCUGGGACGCAGGUUUGAUCCCUGGCCCGGCCCAGCAGGUUAAAAAUCUGGUGUUGCCACAGCUGCAGCUUACGUGGUAACCACAGCUGGAAUCUGAUCCCUGGCCUAGGAACUCCAUAGGCCAUGGGGUGGCCCAAAAAGGAAAAACAAAAAAAGCAGCUGAGUCUCCCUGAGUAGCACAUGGGAGGGGUAGGGGCUGGAAUCAAGGCCAUUUCUGCCGUGGGCAUCAGGGCUGCUCUCCCCGCUUCUGGAUCCGCCCUGUGGUUCCCUUGGGCACUUGGGGAGGGUCCCCUUUGCUCCCCGCGGCCGAGAAUAACUGCUGCUUGUUUUGGCCUUUGAGCCGCUUCUGCUGCGAGAUGUAGAGCCCCGGGCGGUGUUUCACGGGGAAGGCCUUGCGUUUGAAGCCCUCUGACCUUCCAGGAAGCUGCCUAGCACCAAGAGCACGGCAGGCAUCUCUUGUGUCUGUGUAUCCACGCGUCAUUUUUCCUCCCCUGAGCGGAGGUCAGCGGCUGGGUCUGGGCGGCGAAGGUUUUGCUUCGGCGACAUCGAGAGCGCUCCCACUUGGCCCCUGCCCGGACUCGGUCUUCAGGGAAACCGCGGCCGCCUGCAGACCGUUCCCGCUCAGGGUUCCCACGGCCUGGUCGUCAGGUCAGACCCGCAGGCACAAUGCUGGUCGGGGCAGGAAUCCGGGGCUUUCGGCAUCGGUGCGGCGGGGCCGCAGCAAGUUCUGAGGGGUCCCUCUGGGCAGCCAAGGAGUAGAGUCUGGUGCUGGUAAGGGGCCUCCUGUUGGCCAGGGGUGGCCUUUCAUCUCCAGAAUCCCUUGUGCCUGCUGUGGGGCCUGGACCUCCAGCGUCUUCGUUUCUUCUACGAAUAAAGCAGUGGCAGCUUCCGCCCGGAGGCAGCCAGGCCGACGUCCAGCCGGGAAUCAGGCUGGAGAACUCCCCCCAGCUUUUGCACAAGGACCCCCAGGCCUGGCCCAGCUUUUCAGACACAUGGGGGCUGAACAGUUUUUCGGGGGGAGGGGGAGCCCCAGAGCCAGAGUUCCAUGAGGGCCUGUUUGAUAAGACUGGGAGCCUGCGUGUUCUUCAGGCCAAAGCAAUGGUUUUGUGUCCGGGCCUCUGGUGACUGCACACGGGGGCUUAGCCUGGAUCCUGGAAUCCAGAUUCUGCAAAAUCCCGCCACGACCAAGAAGGUAGUGAGAGGGCUCUUGGUCUUCGCGACACUUAGCCCCAGUGUAGCCUGUUUUCCGUCUGGGGUAACAGUCUGCUUCCAGCGUUUAUGGUAAACCCCAGGCAUUUAACUUUUUGCUUCGAAACGUGUGCCUUUUUCUGGGAAACCCUUAGCCCUGGACCCCAAGGAAGCUAAGGACGUCAAGGGUGCUCUGACCCGAGGCCUCUGUCGUGGGGCUGCGUGUUAACGUGUCACCACGCACUGCAGAGCAGUCCCUCCCAGGUGUAUUGCCCUUGCUGCUUUUCCGAGGGCCUGGGCGGACAGCGCGGGCCGUCCUGAGGUCCCGGGGCGCUGCCGUCUGGGUCACCACUGCAUUUGGCCUGGGGCUGGUCCACUGGGAGGCAAAGAGCCUUGUGUUGAGGGAUGGGCUGAUGCACAAGUAAACCACCAGGCGUCUCCGGGAACCUGGACGGAUCCACGCAGGGCUGGCCACAGAGGAUGUGUGGGGACCGGCUUCAGCUACUGCUCUGAGGUCCCGCACCCUCCGAUGUCCCCGUUGGCGUAACACCUGGCCGCACAGGAGCACUGCACGGAGCCGGGCAGGGCACCAACAGGCCGUGUCUAAAGAAUUUAUCUAAAGGGCUGCAAACCUUUUCCCGUUUCGCCUCCAGCUUAAGGUGGGAUGACUGGCUUCGGGCCCAGAGGCUCAUUUUUACAGGUUGGGCAUUUGCAGUCUUCCCAGGACUCCUGCUCCUGUGUGUGUUCACUGCUCGUCGUGGCCCCCGUUCUUCCGGCCGGGCCGAGUCAAGAUGAGGGGCUGCUCAGCGCCUCUUAACCGUAACAUGGUCCCCAGGGGCCCAGGUGUCUCCCGGUAGUGGGGUGGAUGCUCAGGCACAGCUGAAGAGCUGGCAGGCGAGGGGCCGGUGAAGUGACAGGCACCAGGUGUCCCUUCAACACCGGCCACUGUCCAGCUUUUGGAGGAGAGAGGCCCAGCGCGAGACACAGGACAGAGAAGAGUGGCUCCUAUGUCGACUGUCUCACCUGUGAUGCCGAGGACCAGCCGGGGCUCCUCCGUGGAGACAGACACACGGAGGUUCCCAGGCUCGGGGUCCAAUCGGAGCUGUAGCUACCGGCCUACACCACAGCCACAGCAACGCCAGAUGCGAGCCGCGUCUGCGACCUACGUGGAUGCCAGCCAGAUUCCUUAACGGCUGAGCCAUGACGGGAACUCCCCCAGGGCUUUCGGUUUGUUUUUAGGGCCGCACCCACGGCACAAGGAGGUUCCCAGGCUAGGGGCUGAAUUGGAGAUACAGCUGCCGGCCUACACCAUAACCAUAGCCACACAGGAUCCGAGCCGCAUCUGUGACAUACACCGCAGCCCACAGCAACACCAGAUCCUUAACCCACUGAGUGGGGCCAGGGAUCGAACCUGCGUCCUCGUGGAUCCUAGUGGAGUUUGUUACCACUGAGCCGUGACGGAACCUCCUCCCCGGGCCUGUGACUACAGGAGCUGCACAGGGAAGCCGGCGGUACAGAUCCAAGUGCACGAUGGUACUGCAUUCAGACCCACUUCCCUCCGUUCUCCAGCUUCACGAAGGCCAGGCAGCAGGCAGCGUGCCAGUCGAGUCUGAGGCUGAGUCUGCCCUUUUCCAGGCUGUCUCCUUAGCAGCUUUCCCAGCUUUCAAGGCUGCAGUCCAGGAGUCUCUCCGGCUUGGGAGGAUUUUCCCGUCGCGUAACCUGCAACCCGGCGCCCCUGGGGAUGAAGUCCAGAGAACCGAGCCAUUUCCCAGGCGGCCUAGUCGGGAGGGGGCCGGAGUGUCCCUGACUCCCCUCACCUGAUGGGGUUUCAAGCAUCCCCCACGCUCCCAUCAUCCAGCCACACCUUGGUCCACCCAGUCCCUCGUGCCAGGGCCUCACGGCAGGGGACGUUUGUGCCAGUGUUGCCAAGACUCUCCUUGAGGGGGACCUGUUGUUUACAAAGCGUGGGCCCCCAUGAUGCUGGGGUGUAUUCCUGAGACCGAGCAUCUCGAACGCCCAGAACGUGGGCCACUGGGAAGGGGCCAGCCCACCAGGCGGCCUGCGACAGUGUGUGGGCAGCCGAGGCCUUGAGUAAAGAGGCCCCGACUGUAAAGAGGGUCCCUUGGAGAAACGGGGGGUGGGCGCAACGCCAAACGCCCUGGGGUCGGGACCUGAGGGCCCAGGGCUGGGUCCCACAGGGGCUUCUAGACAUCGCAUUAGGUGAGACCGGACACAAGACCGAACCCUCCCCCGGGCUGGAGCCACAGUGGAGCUGGGCCAGCCUGAAGGCCCAUCUGACCCAGCACGGCCAGGCUGCGCGGCGUCCCCUCCAAGCUUCACACACCACUGAGCCUGUGCGUUGAGGGUCUCUCUGGGAAGCUCCAGGGCCUGUGAGGCCCUCCAGGGGGAGCCCAAAGUCAAAAGAGCUUCAAUUAGAAUUUGACGUCUGGGAGGUCCAUCAAAAAUAUCAAAAAAAAUUUGUUUUUUUUUUCCCCCCUUUUCCGGGCCAUACCUACACCAUAUGUAAGUUCCCAAGCUAGGAGUCCAAUUGGAGCUGCAGGUGCUGGCCUAGGCCACAGCCACGCGAUUUGAGCCACGCCUGCGACCUACACCACAGCUCACGGCAACGCCGGAUCCUCAACCCACUGAGCAGGGCCAGGGAUCAAGCCUGAGUCCUCGUGGGUACUAGUUGGGUUCGUAACCCACUGAGCCACAGCGGAAAGUCCCUCAAAGUUUUAAACACCAGAUGGGCUCAUGGGUUGCUGUGAAACAAUACUUAGUCCUUGAGCUGAGGUGAAGAAAAAAAAAAAUUCAAAAACAAGUACAGAUCACUUAAAGGUACAGAAAUGCACUUGAUCAAAAAGCAGCAACCCAGGAUUUCCCUGGAUCCAGUCGAUCUCUGGCCUUGGUCAGUGAAUUAAGGAUCCUGCCUUGGGAGUUCCCUUCGUGGCUCAGCGGUUAACGAACCCGACUAGGACCCAUGAGGACGCAGGUUCGAUCCCUGGCCUCGCUCAGUGGGUUAAGGACCCAGCGCUGCCAUGAGCUGUGGUGUAGGUCACAGAUGUGGCGUGGCUAUGGCUGUGGCUGUGGCGGAGGCCAGUGGCUACAGCAGAUUCCACCCCUGGCCUGGGAACUUCUAUAUCCGGCAGGCAUGGCUGUUAAAAAAAGGAGCAUCUCGUGAAAGCUUGGUCUCUCAUAAGAGACCAAGUCUUGCAUCAGCCUUAUUCUUAAUCAAACCCACUUACCUAUUUGUUUAAACCAAACUUAAGAGUCCUGACCACACAGAAACUUCUUUUCCCAGCGUUCCUUGUCUGCCCACCUUCUGUGGCCAUGCUAUUUUGUCCCUUACUCUUGCCCAUUCAGAAACCAGCGGCUUCGGGACAAAGUCACCUUCUUGCCUUUAACGAGACGUGUUUCCCUCCCUCACGCCUUCUUUACUGAACACCCGGAGCCCGCCUCCCUGAGCAGCACCACGAACUCUUUUCCCAGCAUCCCCAGGGCCGUGGAGAGCAUCUCCAGGUCGGCCCCAAACAGCGUCACUUCCUCUCGGAAGAAGACGGAGGGAGGUCAACUCAGACCUGCCCAGCGGUUAACGUCCCCAUACCGCGUCCUCCUUGAAAUGGCCUGGAGAGCCUAUCACUUAAUGGGGUUUCAAGUUACCAGAACUUGGAGGGAUUACUUUAGGUGGGUAUUUCUAAAACAUAACUGUUCCUACAGAAUUACCCAAAAGCUCCUACCUCAGUCAUAUUUACUCGAAAACUCCAUCGCUCUAGGUUGUUAGCCUUGCUGGCAGAUUUUACAACACAAACAGUAUUACUGACUUUUAGUCACCCCGGGCACAACGAAGGCACUACCCUUACUGUUGCGGUUCUAAAGACAGGUCUUUGUUAACUACAAACGCAGGCUCAAGCUAGCCUCAACACCAGAUGGCUUUUUGGGCUGCACCUGCAGCAUGCAGAAGUUCCCGGGCCAGGUGUCGACACCGCACCACAGCAGCAACUGGAGCCACAGCUGUGGCCAUGCCAGGCCCUUCACCUGCUGAGCCACCAGGGAACUCCACUUUAAUACCAGCUAAGAAUUCAAUAUUGAAUAUUCCCCAGAUCACAUGAACCUGAAAACUAUUCUGGUGGGUUUCUUUUACAUUUCUGAGACUUUAUGUAAGUGCUAAGUUCCCAUUGAGCCAAUUAAAUACAGCUCCUUUACAAGCUGGUUUUCACAGAAGACCCAGAAACCUCCCAGUCUUGUUAAUUUCAAAAGGCCUCUCUCGGUUCCCCUGGGUCUGGGAGUUGGAUCAGAUGGUUCCCAGGAGCCCCGGGAGAGCAGUCGUCCUGCAGAGGCGGAGGAGGGAAGGGCAAGCCCCUCUCCCCCUUGCUUUUUCUCUUUCGGCUGCCCCACAGCUCACGGAGUUCCCAGGCCAGGGAUCAGAUCCAAGCCGCAGUUGCGAACUACACCACAGCUGUGGCAGCACCGGAUCCUUUAACCACUGGGCUGGGUUGGGGAUCAAACCCGUGUCCUGACGCUGCAGGAAGUUCUUGGGCCAGGAAUUGAACCUACACCACAGCAGUGGCAAGGGUGGGUUCUUAACCCCUAGGCCACUGGGUACCCAGGGAACUCCAUUCUUUGCCCCACCCCCAACUUUCCGCUCUUUAAAACCCCACAGGUAUUUAAUCCAAGGCCGGACUGUCUGUACCCCAAGGCCUCAGUGCCCUGUGGUGCCGUUUCAGCAGAUCUGCGCCCAGGAGAGGACACUGGAGCUGCGUGAGGCCCUAUCCAGAUGCAGGAGAGGAGACUCAGGAAAAGGGUGACACUGCCUGGAUGAGGGACCGAGGCCCCGGGGCCAGGAAGGCAGACUGAGCAAACGUGGUGACACUGAAACAAGGUUCAGGCAGCUGCUUGUCACCCACGGGAAAGCUGCUAGGUGGUCCCCAAGGCUCCCAGAUCCUCUCCCAGAGAGGGGACAAGCACCCCAUGUCAGGCACCACGUGACCUGUCGGACCUGGGUUCUGGGCCUCCUUUACCUGGGCGUCUGCUGUAGCGGGGAAGCGGGGGCAAAAAGGCGCAGCAGGUCCCGCGCUCCCUGCUCCUUGGAUGGGGCGGGUCCAGGGGUCCGGGGCGGUGGCUUAGGUCUGCCCACCCCCUUGGUGGUGUGCACAGGGGCCCGUAUGCCCUGCUUUUGCGCUGGGCUCUUCAGAAGCGGCAGCAGGUUCUAGGGUUUGGGUCCACGUUUACCCUGACCGCACAGACACACAGCUGCUUUUAGUCCCUUGUGGUUUCUGUGCAACUGCUGCUCCAGGAGACGUCUGUCCGGGUGCGAGCACUGCAGCCACGUGUCCCUGGUCCUGGCCUGUCUCAGGAGACCAGGUUCAGUUUAGAAGUAAAGGGAAGCGUUACUCUUUGAUCUGAGAACAUAGGGGUGUGGGCUCGUGCUUGACAGCGCUGUUCCGCCAAGGCUGUGGGCGCUGAGGGUGCAGGCCUGCCGCUCUCAGAGCCCCAGACCGAGGGGCUGGGCGCAGCCCCUCCCCACAGCGCCGCCACAUCUCCAGGCGUCACACGCAGCCUCCAGUGCACGGCUUGCCACGCCGGCGCGCCAGGCGGGGGCUUUGUGCCAGAAGUUCUGCCCUGCUGGUGGGUGGGAGGCCCUGCACGCGGCCCCACAGGCUGUGAAACUAGGCUGCGCAUAAAAGGCCAGAACCUGUCACCUGGAUUCCAUCGCACGUGCCCCAGGAGCACCGUGGGCUCUGACAGGCCACUUCCUUUAGGCAGCUGGCUCUCCGGGCCACCAACAGAAGUCCUGGCGGUGGACGGAUCACCCUCCGUGUCUCUGCAGCGACAAAGGGGCUGGCACCGAAGAGGAGCUGGUGGCGCGAGGGACACGAGGGCCCAGCUCGUGACUCCUAAGCCACAGGCCUGUCUGGAGAACGGUCACGCUGGCUUGCGCUCUGGCCCCCACCCCCCGCACGACAGUCACAUCCCAGACGUGCCACAGCCCUUCACCCUCAGGGGUCAGACUUCACCCGCACGCACACACUGGAAAAACCCCCUCUUCAUCCCUGAACUUAUCGUCCAAACUUUACAUUAAAAAUAUAAAAACUCU